CUUUUCUUGAUGUUUUGUUACCAUAUUUUCCUUUUUCUGGUGUUCCUUUUUAUUUUCCUUUUCUUUGGUGUUCCCAUCACGUGGAUUGUCUACGACAUCUAACGAGCACCACAAGUCCCGGUUUAUUGUUCGGAGUUUGCUCUCCUAGGCAGACUGCCUACCACGGCUGACGAGCUCCACCUGCCCGGGUUUAUUGUUCGGAGUUUGCUCUCCUAGGCAGACUGCCUACCACGGCUGACGAGCUCCACCUGCCCGGGUUUAUUGUUCGGAGUUUGCUCUCCUAGGCAGACUGCCUACCAUGGCUGACGAGCUCCACCUGCCCGGGUUUUAUGAUCGGAGUUUGCUCUCCUAGGUGUAUUACCUAUGACGGCUCACGAGCCCAACCUGCCCGGGUUUAUUGUUCGGAGUUUGCUCUCCUAGGUGUAUUACCUAUGACGGCUCACGAGCCCAACCUGCCCGGGUUUGUAAUCGGAGUUUGCUCUCCUAGGUGAACUGCUCACGCUAACGACCUCCACCUGCCCGGUUUUGUAAUCGGAGUUUGCUCUCCUAGAUGAACUGCUUUCGCUAACGACCUCCACCUGCCCGGGUUUAUUGUUCGGAGUUUGCUCUC